rnacentral:rRNA from 1 species
UUGGUUAAGUUAGAAAGGGCGCACGGUGGAUGCCUUGGCACUAGGAGCCGAAGAAGGACGGGACUAACACCGAUAUGCUUUGGGGAGCUGUACGUAAGCGUUGAUCCAGAGAUUUCCGAAUGGGGGAACCCACUAUCUUUAGUCGGAUAGUAUCCUUACGUGAAUACAUAGCGUGAGGAAGGCAGACCCAGGGAACUGAAACAUCUAAGUACCUGGAGGAAGAGAAAGAAAAAUCGAUUUCCUGAGUAGCGGCGAGCGAAACGGAAAGAGCCCAAACCAAGAAGCUUGCUUCUUGGGGUUGUAGGACACUCUAUACGGAGUUACAAAAGAAAGUUAUAAAUGAAGCGGUCUGGAAAGGCCCGCCAAAGACGGUAACAGCCCGGUAGUUGAAAUGGCUUUCCCUCCAGAGUGGAUCCUGAGUACGGCGGAACACGUGAAAUUCCGUCGGAAUCCGGGAGGACCAUCUCCCAAGGCUAAAUACUCCCUAGUGACCGAUAGUGAACCAGUACCGUGAGGGAAAGGUGAAAAGCACCCCGGAAGGGGAGUGAAACAGUUCCUGAAACCGUGUGCCUACAAGUAGUUAGAGCCCGUUAAUGGGUGAUAGCGUGCCUUUUGUAGAAUGAACCGGCGAGUUACGAUUUGUUGCAAGGUUAAGCGGAAAAAGCGGAGCCGUAGCGAAAGCGAGUCUGAAUAGGGCGCAUAAGUAACAGGUCGUAGACCCGAAACCAGGUGAUCUACCCAUGUCCAGGAUGAAGGUAAGGUAAUACUUACUGGAGGUCCGAACCCACGCACGUUGAAAAGUGCGGGGAUGAGGUGUGGGUAGCGGAGAAAUUCCAAUCGAACUUGGAGAUAGCUGGUUCUCUCCGAAAUAGCUUUAGGGCUAGCCUCGAGGUAAAGAGUCAUGGAGGUAGAGCACUGUUUGGACUAGGGGCCCUUCUCGGGUUACCGAAUUCAGAUAAACUCCGAAUGCCAUGUACUUAUACUCGGGAGUCAGACUGCGAGUGAUAAGAUCCGUAGUCGAAAGGGAAACAGCCCAGACCACCAGUUAAGGUCCCCAAAUAUAUGUUAAGUGGAAAAGGAUGUGGGGUUGCUUAGACAACCAGGAUGUUGGCUUAGAAGCAGCCACCAUUGAAAGAGUGCGUAAUAGCUCACUGGUCGAGUGACCCCGCGCCGAAAAUGUACCGGGGCUAAACAUAUUACCGAAACUGUGGAUGAACCUCUUUAGAGGUUCGUGGUAGGAGAGCGUUCUAAGGGCGGUGAA